UACGGAGGGUGCAAGCGUUAAUCGGAAUUACUGGGCGUAAAGCGUGCGUAGGUGGUUCGUUAAGUCCGUUGUGAAAGCCCCGAGCUCAACUUGGGAAUUGCAGUGGAUACUGGCGAGCUGGAGUGCGGUAGAGGAAGGUGGAAUUCCCGGUGUAGCGGUGAAAUGCGUAGAGAUCGGGAGGAACACCAGUGGCGAAGGCGGCCUUCUGGACCAGCGCUGACACUCAAGCACGAAAGCGUGGGGAGCAAACAGG
rnacentral:rRNA from 1 species